CACUCCUGCGGGAGGCAGCAGUGGGGAAUAUUGGACAAUGGGCGCAAGCCUGAUCCAGCCAUGCCGCGUGAGUGAUGAAGGCCCUAGGGUUGUAAAGCUCUUUCACCGGUGAAGAUAAUGACGGUAACCGGAGAAGAAGCCCCGGCUAACUUCGUGCCAGCAGCCGCGGUAAUACGAAGGGGGCUAGCGUUGUUCGGAUUUACUGGGCGUAAAGCGCACGUAGGCGGACUAUUAAGUCAGGGGUGAAAUCCCGGGGCUCAACCCCGGAACUGCCUUUGAUACUGGUAGUCUUGAGUUCGAGAGAGGUGAGUGGAAUUCCGAGGGUAGAGGUGAAAUUCGUAGAUAUUCGGAGGAACACCAGUGGCGAAGGCGGCUCACUGGCUCGAUACUGACGCUGAGGUGCGAAAGCGUGGGGAGCAAACAGGAUUAGAAACCCGGGUAGUCCCA
rnacentral:rRNA from 1 species